rnacentral:rRNA from 2 species
AAAUUGAAGAGUUUGAUCAUGGCUCAGAUUGAACGCUGGCGGCAGGCCUAACACAUGCAAGUCGAGCGGUAGCACAGAGAGCUUGCUCUCGGGUGACGAGCGGCGGACGGGUGAGUAAUGUCUGGGAAACUGCCUGAUGGAGGGGGAUAACUACUGGAAACGGUAGCUAAUACCGCAUAAUGUCGCAAGACCAAAGUGGGGGACCUUCGGGCCUCAUGCCAUCAGAUGUGCCCAGAUGGGAUUAGCUAGUAGGUGGGGUAACGGCUCACCUAGGCGACGAUCCCUAGCUGGUCUGAGAGGAUGACCAGCCACACUGGAACUGAGACACGGUCCAGACUCCUACGGGAGGCAGCAGUGGGGAAUAUUGCACAAUGGGCGCAAGCCUGAUGCAGCCAUGCCGCGUGUGUGAAGAAGGCCUUCGGGUUGUAAAGCACUUUCAGCGGGGAGGAAGGCGUUAAGGUUAAUAACCUUGGCGAUUGACGUUACCCGCAGAAGAAGCACCGGCUAACUCCGUGCCAGCAGCCGCGGUAAUACGGAGGGUGCAAGCGUUAAUCGGAAUUACUGGGCGUAAAGCGCACGCAGGCGGUCUGUCAAGUCGGAUGUGAAAUCCCCGGGCUCAACCUGGGAACUGCAUUCGAAACUGGCAGGCUAGAGUCUUGUAGAGGGGGGUAGAAUUCCAGGUGUAGCGGUGAAAUGCGUAGAGAUCUGGAGGAAUACCGGUGGCGAAGGCGGCCCCCUGGACAAAGACUGACGCUCAGGUGCGAAAGCGUGGGGAGCAAACAGGAUUAGAUACCCUGGUAGUCCACGCCGUAAACGAUGUCGAUUUGGAGGUUGUGCCCUUGAGGCGUGGCUUCCGGAGCUAACGCGUUAAAUCGACCGCCUGGGGAGUACGGCCGCAAGGUUAAAACUCAAAUGAAUUGACGGGGGCCCGCACAAGCGGUGGAGCAUGUGGUUUAAUUCGAUGCAACGCGAAGAACCUUACCUGGUCUUGACAUCCACAGAACUUAGCAGAGAUGCUUUGGUGCCUUCGGGAACUGUGAGACAGGUGCUGCAUGGCUGUCGUCAGCUCGUGUUGUGAAAUGUUGGGUUAAGUCCCGCAACGAGCGCAACCCUUAUCCUUUGUUGCCAGCGGUCCGGCCGGGAACUCAAAGGAGACUGCCAGUGAUAAACUGGAGGAAGGUGGGGAUGACGUCAAGUCAUCAUGGCCCUUACGACCAGGGCUACACACGUGCUACAAUGGCAUAUACAAAGAGAAGCGACCUCGCGAGAGCAAGCGGACCUCAUAAAGUAUGUCGUAGUCCGGAUUGGAGUCUGCAACUCGACUCCAUGAAGUCGGAAUCGCUAGUAAUCGUAGAUCAGAAUGCUACGGUGAAUACGUUCCCGGGCCUUGUACACACCGCCCGUCACACCAUGGGAGUGGGUUGCAAAAGAAGUAGGUAGCUUAACCUUCGGGAGGGCGCUUACCACUUUGUGAUUCAUGACUGGGGUGAAGUCGUAACAAGGUAACCGUAGGGGAACCUGCGGUUGGAUCACCUCCUUACCUUAAAGAA